rnacentral:rRNA from 1 species
GAUGAACGCUGGCGGCGUGCCUAAUACAUGCAAGUCGAGCGAACAGAUAAGGAGCUUGCUCCUUUGACGUUAGCGGCGGACGGGUGAGUAACACGUGGGUAACCUACCUAUAAGACUGGGAUAACUUCGGGAAACCGGAGCUAAUACCGGAUAAUAUUUCGUACCGCAUGGUUCGAUAGUGAAAGAUGGUUUUGCUAUCACUUAUAGAUGGACCCGCGCCGUAUUAGCUAGUUGGUAAGGUAACGGCUUACCAAGGCGACGAUACGUAGCCGACCUGAGAGGGUGAUCGGCCACACUGGAACUGAGACACGGUCCAGACUCCUACGGGAGGCAGCAGUAGGGAAUCUUCCGCAAUGGGCGAAAGCCUGACGGAGCAACGCCGCGUGAGUGAUGAAGGUCUUCGGAUCGUAAAACUCUGUUAUUAGGGAAGAACAUACGUGUAAGUAACUGUGCACGUCUUGACGGUACCUAAUCAGAAAGCCACGGCUAACUACGUG